rnacentral:ncRNA from 2 species
GCGCGAAGCUACCGUGCGCUGGAU